GUGCCAGCAGCCGCGGUAAUACGUAGGUGGCAAGCGUUAUCCGGAAUUAGUGGGCGUAAAGCGCGCGUAGGCGGUUUUUUAAGUCUGAUGUGAAAGCCCACGGCUCAACCGUGGAGGGUCAUUGGAAACUGGAAAACUUGAGUGCAGAAGAGGAAAGUGGAAUUCCAUGUGUAGCGGUGAAAUGCGCAGAGAUAUGGAGGAACACCAGUGGCGAAGGCGACUUUCUGGUCUGUAACUGACNGCUGAUGUGCGAAAGCGUGGGGAUCAAACAGGAUUAG
rnacentral:rRNA from 1 species